AUUACAUAUUGUUAUCUUUUGGUUCUUAUUUUGGUGCUGGACUAUUCUGUGGUUAAUGUGUAUAGCCUUUUCAACCUACUCCAGCACCUGUGCCAACACCCCUAGCUGGUUGGAUGUCAAAUCCUACCACUGUAGCACAUGCUGCAGUUUCUGGAGGAGCCACUAUAGGUCUUGGUACUACUACAGGUCUUGGUGCACCAUCAAUCCCUGCUGCUUUGAAGUACCCUAGGACCCCUCCAACUAAUCCAAUUAGUGACCGAUUUAGCUACCGAUGACAAAGCCAAUCUAGUUGGUCGCUAAAAUCGGUCACUAUUUUUCCAUUCGAGAUCGAUGGCUGUAAGGUUUCAUAAUUUCUCCUUUCAUUCUGGUCUUGAUCACACUGUUUGAAAUGUUCUUUCCUUCUUAAUAUUGCAAUCUUCAUUAGCUUAAUUAGAUUUUACUCUACUGUUUUGAUCUGUUGCUUGCUGCGUUGCUGGAUUGUGAUUCAACAAGUAAUUUAAGUAUAGCUUUCAACAAGUAAUUAGACUUUUUAUAUGUAGUUGAAGCUACUGGUGUAGAAUCAUAUCACAAACACUGAUUGUGAUAUAAACACAAGCAUGCACACUGCAUUAUGAGCUGAACUAGGAAGAUGAUUGCAGCAGGGAUUGGUUAUGAAUUUAUCAGACAAUUAGACAUGAUCACAUCACAUGAAUAUUAUUUCCAAGAAUCUAGCAUUUGAAUGCC